UAUUUGUCUAGAUGUGAUCCAAGCGGGUUCAAGUGCCUGAAGAGCAUAUUUACCGAAACAAAUACGAUUACCUCGAUAAGAUAUUCCUUUCAUUCUUCCUCUAUGUUGUUUACGAAAUCGGGUUCUUUUGGGGUUAUACAUAGCAAUUAUAUGAAAUCAUCAAUCAAAUUUUUAUUCAACCUUACAUAAUUGCUUAUUUUUUUGAUUUAAGAGAAAAAGUUUUUUUUUAUUCUAUUUUUUUUUAUCAAUGGAUAUAGUGUAAAGAGUAAAAACAAGGAAAGUAUUCUUAUUCCCCAUUCUUAUUCCCCAAAUAUCCAAAUUUUGAUGCCUAAUACUCCAUAGACCGUUUGGACUCCAUAGGAACAAUAAUCAAUUUUAGCUCGAAUGGUUUGUAGAGGAACCCUACCUUCUCUGAUCCAUUCGACACGUGCAAUUUCUUUUCCGUCGAUGCGACCUGCAAUUUGUACUUGAAUUCCUUUUGUAUCUGUCUGUUCGGUUAAUUCAAUAGCCUUUUUUAUUGCUUUGCGAAAUGAAACUCUAUUCUUUAAUUGUCCGGCUAUAAAUUCUGCAAGAAUAUUAGGGUGCCCAUAAGGGUUUGUAAUUCUUGUGAUAGCAAUGUUGAGUUUUCGG